rnacentral:lncRNA from 1 species
CCAUUCUUUAAUAACGCUGUGGGAUUCAUUUAUUUUGAAAAUACCACAUUUUGUGGGAUCAUACGAAAGUCUUUCAAAAUUUAUUUGUUGUUGAACAUUUCACUUAGUAGUUCAUCCAAUACCCUUGAAAUCCAUGAAAAGGUCAAAAUUGUUGACCUUGACCUUUGACACUGAUCUCAAUGUCAGAGUUAUCUAAUAGCAGUUUAGAGUCUUUCAAAUUUUAGAAAG